rnacentral:rRNA from 1 species
UACGUAGGGGGCAAGCGUUGUCCGGAUUUAUUGGGCGUAAAGAGCGUGUAGGCGGCCUGAAAGGUCAGCUGUGAAAACUCGAGGCUCAACCUCGAGACGUCGGUUGAAACCAUCUGGCUAGAGUCCGGAAGAGGAGAGUGGAAUUCCUGGUGUAGCGGUGAAAUGCGCAGAUAUCAGGAGGAACACCGGUGGCGAAGGCGGUUCUCUGGGCCUGUACUGACGCUGAGGAGCGAAAGCGUGGGGAGCGAACAGG